UACAUGAAUGAUUUCUGUUUCUGUUGGAGAUGAAAGUAUUACUAGUCACACAGAGAAAGGGCUAGGGGCUAAAUGAGCUGCACUGAUGGUAAAUGCUGAUAGAGGCCUAUGGAGGGGACCUUGUGGCCCAGGGCAGCAAGAAAUGCUGCAUUGGAGAGAUGGGGUACAUGCGAGUGACAAUGGGAAGAGUUGGUAGCUGGAGAGAACUGGGAAAGCCUUCAGAAACGUGGGGCUAAAAUAAGCCCAGAAGCUGAGGAAGGGCUGAGUCAGACCCUCAGAGUGGAGCAAUCACUGCACGGCUGCUCCUUGUAAGAAACAUCCCGUUGCGCCUGAGUUGUUUAUUGCCAGGAGCUGUAAGUGAAAAAUGAGCUCUCUUAAGCCAGGCUGGGAGCAGGCUCCUCUUCCUGGAGAUGGCACGAUGCUUCACAGCUUGGAAACGUUCUGUGCCAGUAUAAAAGGGGUGGCAUACAUCCCUCGGAGCAGGAAAGCCUGAUGACAAAGGGGAAGGAGCCUGGGCUGGAAGCCAAGUGGCACUAGGAUAUUGUCCUCUCUCUCUGGAGAAAGCAUCAGCAGGAGCCAGUUUGAUCCUCUGACAUUGCUGUGUGUGGAUAUGAGUUCUGGGGAUACUGCAGCCACCUCACAAGAAGCUUGUGCGUGACACUGGUGCAGCGGUGGGAAUGGCCAGGAGCAUCACAGAGACCACUGGAUAAAGCCAAUCCUGAAGCUUCCUGCUAUGUGGGCCAACAGAUGUCCUUAUUGUUCCAACGGUCUGAGAGCUCUGACUGCAGCAGGUCGAUGGCGACUGGCACUCCUAACCCUCCAUCCUUAACAGGGCGUUUUGCAAAAGGAGGGGAGAUUUGCUGUUUUCCAGCCACCUAAGAUCAAACCUUAAGGAUAGUGGUCAUACCUGUCUUAAUAACGGCAGUCAUUGAGCAUGUAGAAGUUGCUGGACCUCCAGCACACCCCAGGCCCCCAGAAGAAGUGGGGCCUCCUGGUGCACCAGGAGCCCAAGGUAUACCAGCAUGAAGAGGAUCACCUGAGUUACCUGGAGAUAUUGAGAUAUGCCCACCCCUACCACCAUGUGCCUGCUGUGUAAAGCUCAAUGGGCCAUUACCAGGACCAUCCCAGUCCACUGUCUUCCAGGAAGCUCUGUACAACCAUCAGAAUCAUUCUGACCUGGCCACUGGAGUGUGUUCUUCAUUCUCCUGCACCACCCUCGUGUAUACCACUUUGGUUCUGACAUUGCACUGUUUCAGAAUGCUGUCAAGGUGGGUCUCAUGAGGAAUGGUAUCCAGGUCAGGGACAAACAAGGAGACCAAGGACAGCCAUGAGCAAGUUUCAGGAAGUUCCAUCACACAGCUGAGAAAUGGGAUAUGAUGUGGCCACAGUCUAAGCUGGACAAAGCGGAGUCUGAAAAAGGAACUUAUCUAACUGUAUUCUAUGGGUAUUUGCUCAGUGGAAAUUCAGAAGGCUGGAACUAACAGCAUGGGCCUUUUCCUCAAGUACCUCUGCACUUAAGAAAGGAUGCUUUCUACUGCUCUCAGCCCAAGUAUUCCCUCUAGUAUCAUUCAAUGGUGAAUAGCUCACCAAAUUGGCAAUGGCUAAGUUUGAACAAAAUGAAUAUAUUAGCAAUGACUGAAACCAAUAAAGACCAACAACUCAUC
ensembl:lncRNA LINC01640 long intergenic non-protein coding RNA 1640